GGGGCGGCGCCGACGUUCGGAGAGUCGGGCUUGGCUGUAACCCAAGUGUCGCUGACUGAGUGGGUUCGAAUCCCACCCGCCUCACC
rnacentral:tRNA from 2 species